rnacentral:rRNA from 1 species
GAUGAACGCUGGCGGCGUGCCUAAUACAUGCCAGUCGAGCGAACAGACGAGGAGCUUGCUCCUCUGACGUUAGCGGCGGACGGGUGAGUAACACGUGGAUAACCUACCUAUAAGACUGGGAUAACUUCGGGAAACCGGAGCUAAUACCGGAUAAUAUAUUGAACCGCAUGGUUCAAUAGUGAAAGACGGUUUUGCUGUCACUUAUAGAUGGAUCCGCGCCGCAUUAGCUAGUUGGUAAGGUAACGGCUUACCAAGGCGACGAUGCGUAGCCGACCUGAGAGGGUGAUCGGCCACACUGGAACGGAGACACGGUCCAGACUCCUACGGGAGGCAGCAGUAGGGAAUCUUCCGCAAUGGGCGAAAGCCUGACGGAGCAACGCCGCGUGAGUGAUGAAGGUCUUCGGAUCGUAAAACUCUGUUAUUAGGGAAGAACAAAUGUGUAAGUAACUAUGCACGUCUUGACGGUACCUAAUCAGAAAGCCACGGCUAACUACGUG